rnacentral:rRNA from 1 species
GACGAACGCUGGCGGUGUGCUUAACACAUGCAAGUCGAACGGUAAGGCCCUUUCGGGGGUGCACGAGUGGCGAACGGGGGGGUAACACGUGGGUAACCUGCCCUCAUCUCUGGGGUAACAAUCGCAAACGAUUGCUACUACUGGCUAUGAGCUUGUCAGGCAGCUUGUGGGGUGGAAAGAUUUUUUUGGGUGGGGGUGGACUCGCGGCCUAUCCGCUUGUUGGUGGGGGAGUGGCUCUUCAAGGCUUCGACGGGUAGCCGGCCCGGGAGGGCGAACGGCCACAUUGGGACUGAGAUACGGCCCAAACUCCUACGGGAGGCAGCAGUGGGGAAUAUUGCACAAAGGACGGAAGGCUGAUGCAGCAACGCCGCGGGCGGGAUGACGGCCUUCGGGUUGUAAACCGCUUUCAAUUGUGACGAAGCUUUUUGUGACGGUAGCAGUAGAAGAAGCACCGGCUAACUACGUG